GUGGAGGUCGCUGUGUGACUAUGGAGGUCGCUGUGUGACUGUGGAGGUCUCGUCCAUGUGGCUGUGGAGGUCUUUGUGUGACCAUGGAGGUCACGUCCCGUGUGACUGUGGAGAUCUCUGUGUGACUAUGGAGGUCUCGUCCAUGUGGCCGUGGAGGUCUCUGUGUGACUAUGGAGGUCGCGUCCCGUGUGGCUGUGGAGGUCGCUGUGUGACUAUGGAGGUCUCGUCUGUGUGGCUGUGGAGGUCGCUGUGUGACUAUGGAGGUCAUGUCCCAUGUGGCUGUGGAGGUCUCUGUAUGACUAUGGGGGUCACGUCCUGUGUGGCUGUGGAGGUCUCUGUGUGACUAUGGAGGUUUCAUCCAUGUGGCUCUGAAGGUCUCUGUGUGAUUAUGGGGGUCACGUCCUGUGUGGCUGUGGAGGUUUCAUCCAUGUGGCUCUGAAGGUCUCUGUGUGACUAUGGAGGUUGCGUCCCAUGUGGCUGUGGAGGUCGCUGUUUGACUAUGGAGGUUUCAUCCAUGUGGCUCUGAAGGUCUCUGUGUGAUUAUGGGGGUCACGUCCUGUGUGGCUGUGGAGGUUUCAUCCAUGUGGCUCUGAAGGUCUCUGUGUGACUAUGGAGGUUGCGUCCCAUGUGGCUGUGGAGGUCGCUGUUUGACUAUGGAGGUCUCGUCCGU
rnacentral:lncRNA from 1 species